rnacentral:rRNA from 1 species
UACGGAGGAUCCAAGCGUUAUCCGGAUUUAUUGGGUUUAAAGGGUGCGUAGGUGGCUUUUUAAGUCAGGGGUGAAAGACGGUAGCUUAACUAUCGCAGUGCCUUUGAUACUGAGGAGCUUGAAUGAACUAGAGGUAGGCGGAAUGUGACAAGUAGCGGUGAAAUGCAUAGAUAUGUCACAGAACACCAAUUGCGAAGGCAGCUUACUAUGGUUUUAUUGACACUGAGGCACGAAAGCGUGGGGAUCAAACAGG